UCUACCCCUAGAGGCGCUGCAGGUGUGGCUGCUGUGUCACACCUGCCUCAGGAGGAGGGAGAGAGAACAAAGGUUAUAUCUGUGCUCCAUGUUCUGACCCUCGAACAUCUGAGUGAUAUUCCCUGGAAA